rnacentral:lncRNA from 1 species
AAAUCAGGUUUUUGAAAUAAAAACCCUCUUUCAAUUUUAAAGUCUUGUGAUUAGGCAAGAUCCUCCUUCUCCUCUUGUGAAUCCUUCCAUGAAAAAAAAAAGGAAAAAUUCCCAACUGCAACCUGAUGAAAUUAAAAAUAAUUAAAGCAAAAGUAGUUUUACAAUGUUCAUACUGCACAGAUAAAUAGCCUUAGUCUUAUUUUAUAUCUCCUAUAUGGUUUCCAUCUCAUGUCACAUCCUGGUACUGGUUUUAGUUCUGUGAGAUGUGGAACAGCCCAUUUUAAGGCCAUUCUCUGUUGCACAGGUAUUAAAUCAUAAGCAUAUUAAUGGAAGAAUAUGUUCACUGAGUUCUCUGCAACAGUAAGAGGGAGAAAGGUUUGGAAAGUCCAUUAAAAAAAUGGGAGUAUCUUUGUACAAGACACCUGAGAAUGAUCAGACAGCAACCUACAGUGGGGCAGACUAGGGUGUGAACUUAGCAGUUUGAAUUUUCUUCCAGCUGUAGUUGUCCAGCAUCCUCUCUGCACCACCCCCAGCCCUGUGUUUUGUGUACCAUUCCAGUCAGAUUGCUGAGGAGAGAGACAAAGGACAGAUUCCAGGAUAAAAUCAAAACUGCUCUAGAAAUGCACUGUGUGUGGCAGCGUUUGGAACAGUGUCCACUCUAAAAUGGAUCUUAGACUAUCUCAAGCUGUGCACUGCAGCGAGGAGUUUGGAACUGAGAGGUAAGUUGAAGUGGUAGGGACAAAUGAAGACUGAUAUUUAAUGUAGUUUUUGUGUACUUAUAUUUUGCUGUCAUGUAUUUUGCCUUAAAACUGAUUUGUAAUUUUCUGCAUUUUGUGACAUUAUGAUAAGAUGUGAUGUAAGCGGGGCUUCCAUUUACCAAAUACAUUGGUGCAUUUUUGGGUCACAGUGGUUGAAUUCUGAAUUCUGACCUUAGGCUUUCAUGUCUAUCAGUAACAACAUGCAAGUUUAGAUCUGCACUCUUAAAUGCUUCUCCUUGUGCUUUGGAC